rnacentral:rRNA from 1 species
UGGCUCAGGAUGAACGCUGGCGGCGUGCUUAAUACAUGCAAGUCGAACGAAGCACCUGCGACGGAUCCCUUCGGGGUGAAGAUGCUGUGACUGAGUGGCGGACGGGUGAGUAACGCGUGGGUAACCUGCCUUAUGCAGGGGGACAACAGUUGGAAACGACUGCUAAUACCGCAUAAGCGCACGGCACCGCAUGGUGCAGUGUGAAAAGAUUUAUCGGCAUAAGAUGGACCCGCGUCUGAUUAGGUAGUUGGUGAGGUAACGGCCCACCAAGCCGACGAUCAGUAGCCGACUUGAGAGAGUGAUCGGCCACAUUGGGACUGAGACACGGCCCAGACUCCUACGGGAGGCAGCAGGUAGGGAAUAUUGCACAAUGGGGGGAACCCUGAUGCAAGCGACGCCGCGUGAGUGAUGAAGUAUUUCGGUACGUAAAGCUCUAUCAGCAGGGAAGAUAAUGACGGUACCUGACUAAGAAGCCCCGGCUAACUACGUGCCAGCCGCCGC